rnacentral:rRNA from 1 species
GAGGAAUAUUGGUCAAUGGGCGCAAGCCUGAACCAGCCAUGCCGCGUGCAGGAAGACGGCCUUAUGGGUUGUAAACUGCUUUUACAUAAGACUAACCGUAUAUUUGCGAAUAUACCUGAAUGUAUUAUGAGAAUAAGGAUCGGCUAACUCCGUGCCAGCAGCCGCGGUAAUACGGAGGAUCCGAGCGUUAUCCGGAUUUAUUGGGUUUAAAGGGUGCGUAGGCUGACUGAUAAGUCAGCGGUGAAAAGCAUAGGCUUAACCUAUGUCUUGCCGUUGAUACUGUCAGACUAGAAUAUAAAUGGAGUAGGCGGAAUGAAUCAUGUAGAGGUGACAUUCAUAGAUAUGAUUUAGAACACCGUUCGCGAAGGCGGCUUACUAAGAUAUAAUUGACGCUGAUGCACGAAAGCGUGGGUAUCGAAC